rnacentral:rRNA from 1 species
GAUGAACGCUGGCGGCGUGCCUAAUACAUGCAAGUCGAGCGAACAGACGAGGAGCUUGCUCCUCUGACGUUAGAGGCGGACGGGUGAGUAACACGUGGACAACCUACCUAUAAGACUGGGGUAACUUCGGGAAACCGGAGCUAAUACCGGAUAAUAUAUUGAACCGCAUGGUUCAAUAGUGAAAGACGGUUUUGCUGUCACUUAUAGAUGGACCCGCGCCGCAUUAGCUAGUUGGUAAGGUCACGGAUUACCCAGGCAACGAUGCGUAGCCGACCUGCGAGGGUGCUCGGCCACACUGGGACUGGGACACGGUCCAGACCCCUACGGGAGGCAGCAGUAGGGGAUCUUCCGCAAUGGCCGCAAGGCUGACGGAGCCACGCCGCGUGAGUGAUGAAGGUCUUCGGGUCGUAAAACUCUGUUAUUAGGGAAGAACGAAUGUGUCAGUAACUAUGCACGUCUUUGCGGUACCUAAUCAGAAAGCCACCGCUUACUUCGUGC